rnacentral:rRNA from 1 species
CCUACGGGUGGCAGCAGUGAGGAAUAUUGCUCAAUGGACGAGACUCUGAUCCAGCCACGUAGCGUGAAGGAUGACUGCUCUAUGGGUUGUAAACUUCUUUUAUAUGGGAAUAAAAUGUUCCACGUGUGGGAUUUUGUAUGUACCAUAUGAAUAAGGAUCGGCUAACUCCGUGCCAGCAGCCGCGGUAAUACGGAGGAUCCGUGCGUUGUCCGGAUUUAGUGGGUUUAAAGGGAGCGUAGGUGGGUUGUUAAGUCCGUUGUGAAAGUUUGCGGCUCAACCGUAAAAUUGCAGUUGAAACUGGCAGUCUUGAGUACAGGAGAGGGAGGCGGAAUUCGUGGUGUAGCGGUGAAAUGCGUAGAUAUCACGAAGAACUCCGAUUGCGAAGGCAGCUCACUGGACUGCAACUGACACUGAGGCUCGAAAGUGUGGGGAUCAAACAGGAUUAGAUACCCGUGUAGUC